rnacentral:rRNA from 1 species
CCUACGGGUGGCUGCAGUGGGGAAUAUUGCACAAUGGGCGCAAGCCUGAUGCAGCCAUGCCGCGUGUGUGAAGAAGGCCUUCGGGUUGUAAAGCACUUUCAGCGGGGAGGAAGGCGGUGAGGUUAAUAACCUCAUCGAUUGACGUUACCCGCAGAAGAAGCACCGGCUAACUCCGUGCCAGCAGCCGCGGUAAUACGGAGGGUGCAAGCGUUAAUCGGAAUUACUGGGCGUAAAGCGCACGCAGGCGGUCUGUCAAGUCGGAUGUGAAAUCCCCGGGCUCAACCUGGGAACUGCAUUCGAAACUGGCAGGCUAGAGUCUUGUAGAGGGGGGUAGAAUUCCAGGUGUAGCGGGGAAAUGCGUAGAGAUCUGGAGGAAUACCGGUGGCGAAGGCGGCCCCCUGGACAAAGACUGACGCUCAGGUGCGAAAGCGUGGGGAGCAAACAGGAUUAGAUACCCUUGAGUC